UCUUCUUCUUCCUCACUCUUCUCUUCCUGUAACUUCUCUACCUUCCAUCACCCAACAUCACCAUACAACUUUUUGAAAAAAUUCUGCAAAACUUUGUUGGGUUAUAUUAGAAUCCAAUUUCUUCAACAAAAGAGUCAAUUUCUUUAGCAACCUCAUCAGAAAAAAUGAAGAUCAUCAGCAUUCUCUAAGAAUUUGCAACUCUUUUUCUUUUUAAAAUCAAAUCACAUAAAGUUUAAGCUCUUCUACAUUAAUGUUGUCUGC
rnacentral:lncRNA from 1 species